GCUCAUGUAGCUCAGUCGGUAGAGCACAUCCUUGGUAAGGAUGAGGUCGGCGGUUCAAAUCCGCCCAUGAGCUCCA
rnacentral:tRNA from 1 species